rnacentral:lncRNA from 1 species
UUGUGACAUUCUUUACAUGGACCUGGCGAUCGGGUUAGGGUAUAGGGUGUUACAAUUCACAUUAUUACUAGUAAUCCUAAGUACAUGCCAAAUUAAGGUCCAAAAUAUAUAUACCAAAAGGGUUGAACUUGAAGCUUGAGGAGUGAUGUAAUCCAAGCUGAAGCUAAAAUCCCCAAAUCUUCUAAACUUUAUCUUUUUACUUGCUCGUUAUCAAAUAACACAUUAAGCUCAUAGAGCUUAGUAAGUACCUAUAAUAGAAUUCAACAGCCUAUUGAUUCAUUUAUUUAAGCAUAUUUUAAAUCAUGUAAAUUAAAACAAAUGAAUAAACUACUUAUACUAUGAAAUAACUGUAAUACCCAAUUAUUGUCCGGGGCCCAAAACUGUUUACAGCCCACAUUUGGCCAAAUACAAACCAAAUACAUGAGGCCCAAUAAAGCCCAAACCAAUAACCCUAUACAGCCCAAAUUUUUCAAAGUCACAGAAAUCCUAGGAGGCUAAUGGUCUCGGCGCCGCAACCACCCACGUUCAGCAACUGUUCAUCAUCCCAUGACAUUGCUCGCACGUCUUCCACGAUCUCCAUACCUGCGAAAAAUUGAUCAAAAUGGCAGUAGAGGCAGCAAAUAAGAGGAGGUAGUUUUAUUUAUAUAUUUUUUAUUUUUAGGAGGAUUAUUAUUUUUUUGGGGGUGCGGCUCGGAUAUAAAAGGCUGAUUUCAAUUUGUAAUGGGGGUUAGACAAUUGUUGUAGUGAAAGACUGAAAUACAAACAAAAAAAAAUCAAAAAAACUAUUUGGAAGGUAAUUAGUUGACUCCAUUUUUCUUUUCUUUUCACUGUUUUGUUCCUUUUAUUUUUUUCCCUUGUUUUGAAAACGAAAACGAAGCAAAGAAGAAGGAAAAGGGUUCUUACCGGUGGUAGCGCGCCGUCGUGACGCCGUCGUCGUCGUUGUGGCCGGUCAAAAAUGGGUCUGAAAUGGUGGGAGGGAGGCUGCGGCAAAUACUAAAAUGGCAGAGAAAGGGUUUUGAAAUGGGAUUUUAUAAGGGUUCAAAAAGGGGCCAUUUGCGCGAUUGGUCCUUUUCUUUUUGGGGUUGUUUAAAUUAAAUUUAUUAUUUCUUUUAAAUUUUGCUGCAUAUUUUAAUAUUGUUUCAAUCCGGUCCUCGUUGCUGUGCAGUGUUUAGGAGGUUUGGGUAAAUUUCUUUUUAGGUCUUCCUCAUGUUACGCGCGUUUUAAUUUGCUCCUUUUCACAUUUUCAAUUUUUGAAUUUAGCCUUUAAAUUCUAUUUAUUUUCAAUAUUAAUCCUUCAUUUGUCAUUUUAAGGUUUUUUUUAUAAAUACUGUUAGAUUGUUAUUAUUACUGUAUUAUUAUUAGUAUUAUUUAAUAUUAUAUUAAAUAUUAAUAUUAUUAUGCCUAUAUGUAUAUACGCAUAUGUAUGUUAAUAUAUACAUGUACAUACUUUAAAAGGCUUUAAAAUAUAUAAACGUGUCUUAUAUAUUUUAUUAUUACUUUAUUUUUCUUAGUUUUAUAUGCAUACGUACUUAUACAUAUAUUUUAUGAAUUUCAUAUCAUUUUUCAUUUUUUUCCUUUUUAAAUUCUAUAUAUAUAUUUCUUUUAUAAUGUACAUAUUUAUACACAAUUCAAAGUUAUAAUAAAAAUAUUUUUCGCAUUUUAUAUAUAUAUUCAUAUUUUGAUAAUUUGCUAAUAUAUUAUGUUUAUACAUUUUUAUGUUUAUUAUUUUUAAAAUGAAUGUAUAUUUUAUUAUUGAUUCAUUUUCGUGAUUUUUGUAUACGUAUAUAUGCACGAGCAUUUUAUCAUGUUUUUGAAGAAAAUAUAUAUUGGUUCCAUCAAGGUAUUAAAAUUAUUUUUUAAAAAAAUUUUAAAUAUUUGGCAAUCAUGAUUCUCGAGAAAGAUCGUGUCCUAACUUACUGGAUCGUAAUCAUUUUUCGAUGAAUUUAGAAAGCUAAGUAUUUAUUUUAUAAUAAAUUCGCAAUUUUCAAAUAAAAGCUUAUUCUCGAGAAUAAAAAAUGCCGGGUCCUAACUUACUAGUCGUGACAUUUCGUCAUCUCGAAAUAAGGAUUUCUAAAACUAAAGGUGCUCUUCGGUAUUUGAAAUUCUGAGAAAUUGUGUCCUAAUUUACUGGGUUUCGAUUUUUCUUUAUUUGAUCUAAAUAAUCGAAUACCCUUUCAGAUUUAAUUGUGUGAGUUUUAAAAUCAAAAGACAAACUUAAUUUUAAAGAUUUAAAAAUAUUGUGCCCUAACUAACUGGGUGUGAUAUUUUAUUUCUUUGAAAUAGGAAUGUUUAUCUUGUUAAUUCAUCCUCAAGUUAAAAAAAUUUUUAAACUCUUUUCAAAUUUUCGACAUCAAGACAUAAAAUAAUCAAAUUUGGUACCGAUUUUUGGGCGUUACGAGGGUGCUAACCCUUCCUCGUGUGUAACUGACUCCCGAACCUGUUUUCUCAAAUUUUGCAGACCAGAAUUAUUUUUAUGGUGAGCCGAUCACACCUUAAUAAUGGAUCGGUGGCGACUCCAGUUUUUGUUUUUUAAAAGUCGACAACUAGUUUUUGUUUUUAAAAAAAUGGUUUCGACAGCUUGGCGACUCUGCUGGGGAGUUAGAGAGUCGAGCCAUGAAUUGAUUAUCUUCUGUCUUUUUUGUCGAAAAUUCAAAGUUGUUUUAAAACCUGAUUUUCCCUUUGCAUUCAUUAGUUUUAAUUAUUACAUGCUUGUUUGGUUGGUUUAAUUUUGUUGGUUUAUUUGCAUUUUGCAUUGCAUUGGUUGGUCAAUUUUACCCCUCUAAGUGGGAGUGAGAAGCUAGUCCUUCGUGAGGUUUUCACCUCCGUGCAAGGCAGUGGAUCGCUUCCUGGAUACAUCUGUACCUAUGUCUUCGUGAGAUUUUCAUCUCCAUGCAGCCAUAGGGAAAUGUAUCCCCCUGAACUGAACUCGAUCCAUAUGAGCCUAUAAUAGGUGAGGAUCGAGGAAUCUGCUGGUUCGGGUACCCUUGCUCUAGAAGCCAAAACCUCAUAUAGUGAACCUUAGGAGCCCACCCUAAGUAGAAUUACUUUGAACGUUAGUAGACACCUAAUUAGGAGUUUUUACUAUUUCUUGGUUGUAUUGUAUUUAAUUGUUACUAACUUUUUGUGUUUUACUCUGAUUACAUGGCAUUAUAAUUACAUGGCAUUCCAUUAUAAAGAGGCGUUGUUUCGUAUUCGGUUGCUAGACAGAAAGUUUAUCAUGGGAAAUGGGUUUCUUGAUAAAGUGGAAGAUAAUAUGGUUGCCUGAAUAUAUUCCGAGAAAUGCAAGAAAGAUGAUGGAGGAAUACAUGACUUUACUUCGUGCCUUAAGGUCAAGCUGAUUAUUCAAGAGUUUCUGACAUUCCAACUGCCUUAAAGAAGCUGAGGAGCAUUACGGGGAUGGGCAGACGUUGGAUUAUAACCAGGAUCAAACAGAAAGGAGGUAGAGGAGAUACCCCUUUUGAAGAAUUCGCAAGAUUUAUCUUAGCAUCCAGAUGAAGAAGGAGAAGAUGUCUUCGCCUGGAGUAUAAAGGCAAAGCCGUAUAUAUAUAUCCACUUUAUGUAAAGAAAUUUGUCUUCUAGUAAAGUUUUCUAAAUGGAAUUGAAUCAGAAUCAACAUCUCUUUUUGCAUUCAUCUCAUACAUUUGCAUUACAUUGCAUCAUAUGCACUAAAAUCCACCAAAAGAGCCUAAUCAAUUAAAAUUAUUCUUCAGUUAACCUGAAAACCAACCAGCCAACCUAGCCCUGUUACGGUACAAGAGCGAAAUCAAAGAAUAUGGAUCAAAGAUUAGAAAAGCUCGAGCAGUUCCAAAAAAAAAUACAUGAGCAGCUCCAGCAGCAGAUGCAGGAGCAGCUCGAGAAGAUUCAAGAGAAAAUGAUGGAUAAAAUGAUGGAAUCUCAAGGAAGUAUGAUGACAAAGUUAACGCAGUUGUUGACGGAAAGGAAAGAUAAAGGAAAGAGCCCCAUGACCAAUGUUGAGGAGGAAUGUGAUGACGGACCCCUGUAUCCUCCAGGCUUUACUCCUCCAGAUGUACAGCCCCAAGUGGAAAUGUACCCGCGUAAAUCUUCUGUUACCAUUAGGCCUCAACAAUUUCAGGCCGAUGCUUCAAAGGCGAUGAAUUACCAAACUGGAUCAGGCUCUAGCCCUGAGAAUAUUCCCGUCAGUCUUGUAGUCCCUGACUUCGAUGAGGUGGUCAAAAAGGAAAAAGCAAAGGAAGAAUUGCCAAAACAAUUGGAAGAAAGGUGGAAGUGGGUCGAAGAGAAGUUCAAGGCGAUGGAAAGUACUGAGAGAUAUGGUGGGAUUGAUGCUAAGGAUUUGAGUUUAGUUCGAGAAAUAUAAUGGAACUAGUUGCCCAGAAGCCCACAUCCACUAUGUUUUGUAGGAGAAUGACUGCAUAUGUUAAUAAUGACCAACUUUUGAUACACUGCUUUCAGGAUAGCCUCACGGGGGCAGCGUCUAAAUGGUAUAAUCAUUUGAGCCGUGCUAAGAUUAGUUCUUGGAGGGAUUUGACACAGACUUUUAUGAAGCAAUACAAUCAUGUGACAGAUAUGGUUCCUGAUAGAAUCACCUUACAGAACUUAGAAAAGAAAUCAAAUGAAAGCUUUAGGCAGUAUACACAGAGAUGGAGGGAGGUUGCAGUUCAAGUCCAACCACCGCUCAUUGAAAGAGAAAUGGUGAUGGUCUUUAUAAAUACGUUGAAGGCCCCAUUCAUCACACAUAUGUUGGGAAGUGCCACAAAAAGCUUUUCUAACAUAGUUAUGAGUGGUGAGAUGAUUGAGAGUGCUAUUAGAAGCGGAAAGAUUGAUGCUGGAGGAAAUAACAGAAAGCAAGCCCCAAAGGAAAAAGAAAAUAAGGUGAGCAACGUGAAUACGUACAACAAAUCGAUUACGGUGAAUCAACCAAGAAAGGUGGUUGCUAAUCAGUAGGGUUCAUCACGACAAGAAUCAGGUGUGAAGCAAGAUACUGAGAAACUCCAGUUCACACCAAUUCUAUUGUCGUAUAAGGAGCUUUAUCAAAGCUUAUUUGAUGCGCACGUCGUUUCCCCUUUCUACUCAAAACCCCCACAGCCUCCCUACCCCAAAUGGUACGAUGAAAGUGCACAAUGCGAUUAUCAUGCAGGAAUUACGGGAUAUUCUAUAGAAAAUUGCAUUGCCUUUAAAAAAAUGGUUGAAAGGCUGAUCAGUAUGGGCGUCGUAAAUUUGACGAUUCAUCCAGUGUAGAAAAUCCACUACCUAAGCACAUUUGAUAAUGGGGUGAAUGUGAUGCAUGAAGAAGUGUUGAGAGGUGUUCACAUCAAUGUCAUAGAUGAAGACACAAUCGAAAAGGGACCUUGUUAGAUAUCCACCUUUGUAAACCUGGGAGUGUUUUAAGCAAUCGAACUGCAGAAGAAAUAUUUGUAGUAUUUAGGGCUUAUUUAGAGCAAUGUUCAAAACACACUUGUUGCUUUUAGCCUAAAGGCAAUAAGAAUUCCUUUGUGAAAUAGGCUCAUGUCUGAAUGUCGUUAUUUUAGUGAAAUGCAUCCUUACGACCAUUUUUGAACCAAUAUUCUUUCAGUCUGUCUGAAUAGUUAUUCUUUCAUUCUUUUGGAUUUUCUUCCACAUCAUUCAUUCAUUCAUAAUCAUAUUGUACAGAUAGUUCUUCAUAAAUUUAUACAUUCUUUUGUAUAUUCUUUGGUAUUUAUUAUGGGCCCUUAUAUAUCAAUGACUUGAAUGACACUGCUACAGAUUUAGAAUCUCCUUUUGAGCAAGACAUGUGUUUAGAGGGAUCUCAUGACUUUGAAGAUGACAUAGAUUGUAGCCUAUCUCCAGACUUGUUGAGGAUGGUAGAGCAAGAAGAGAACAAAUUUUACCUCUUGAAGAGACAAUAGAGAUUGCGACUUUAAGAGAACAUGCAUAACCGGAUAAACAAAGCAAGAUAUUGUUGAGUUACUUCAAGAGUUCAAAGAUUUCUUCGCAUGGUCAUACCAGGAUAUGCCCGGGUUAAGCAUUGGCAUUGUAAUCUGAACAGCAGUACGAUAUCAGAAAUUUGCAGUUUGUUCAAGGUUAACAUCAUGAAUGAUGCUUUACUAGGGCAAUGACUUUCUCUUUGACUUAUCAUAGCUUUGCCCAUUGAAGUCGAGUUGCCAUCUCUCUGCAUUUUUGUUGGAUUUAUCCUAAUUGAAGAGAAAUAUCCGAAGAUUUCACCCCAAAAGGCUUUAUGAGAGAAACCUGAUACCAAAGAAGAUCUUUCGCAUAUAAAAUGAAAGUGGAAUAUCUUAUGGGGAAGACCUUAUCUGGAAUAAUAUUGAUUUUGAUUGAAAAGGAUGACCAGGACUUGCCUAAUACUAUGAGUGCGGAUUUAAAAAAAAAGGAAAAAGAAAAGAAAAACACAAAAAAUGAACAAAAAAACAAAAAACAAAAAUAAAAAAGAAACAAAAAAAACCUCGACCGGGGCAAUGUCUUUCUCUUUAGCUUAUCACGGUUUUUCCACUGAAGUUAAAAUUCUUUCUCUUCGGGUAUUGGCUGAGCUGAAGUAGGAUGAAGAUCCAAUCUCGAUAAGAUCAGUUGAACUUAAUUGAAGGAAAUAGGCUAAAAGCUAUUCGUCAUGGCCAGAUGUACCAAAAACAGAUGAUGCGAGCUUACAAAAAAAAAGGGGUUCAUCCUAGAGAAUUUCACGAGGGAGACCUGGUAUUGAAAAAGAUCAUUCCUUUACAAAAGGGUUUUAGAGAAAAAUGAGUGCCAAAUUGGGACUGUCCUUAUAUUGUAAAGAAGACCUUUUCUGGAGGAGCACUGAUCUUGAGUGAGAUGGAUAGUAAAAACUUGUCUAAUCUUGUAAACUCAGAUUCAGUCAAGAAAUACUUCAUUUAAAGAAGGAGAGGACCAAGGUAAAAACCUGCAAAGGGCACUUUGAGUUGCAAAAAAAAAAGGAGGAAAAAUAUGUGAAAAUAAUAAUGGAAAAAUGAAAAUAAAAAAUGGAAAAAAGUAAAAAUGGAGAGGCUAAGGUGAAAACCCGCAAAGGGCGCCUUAGACCAAAGGAGAUUUGAGUUGAAAACCCCAAAAGGGCGGCUCAAAUUUUGAUCAGAAUAGGGCUGGAAGUGAUCAGAGUGGCUCAGAUUUUGAUUGGAAUAGGGCAUGUGGUGGUCUUGAUAUACCUUAGUUAGCAGGAAAGGGUAUGCGACAUCUUGGGGCAUCGACAAAGUAUUGUAGAUAUCCUAAACACAUGUCAAACUCAGAAUGGUCUUCAGGAAGUUUGUACAGAGAAGUUCAAGUUGCGUUAUCUGGGGCACUUAGUCUUCAUACUAUUUAUAUUGAAUUGUCUGUUCUUGGAAUACUUUAUUCUUUUUCAAGAUACAAGUCAAUUCUUCUUGUAUUCUUAAUAUUCUUGAUAAUAUGUUCAUUUCAAGCUAUGUUCUCAAACUAAUUCUAUUUUAUCUUUUAUUUUGUUCUUUUUGCAAACGUGUUGCGUUAGAAUAAUGAUCAAUGGACUAAUAAAACUUUCACAAGGGAAGUUUUGCAUACUACUCUAGAAGUUUCUAAACAAUACAGUAACCUGAAAUAGGACUAUUGUUUAGAACGCACCAAGUUUAAAGGUUGAAAUAUCUGGGAAGGAAAGGUCUAAAUUGAGACUAUCCCUUCAGAUUUUGUUGUCAUAAUAUUGAUUGAACAAAGUGACAAGAUGUCGUGUUGGUGACAAAGCGUCAAAGAACAAGCAAGUAAUGAUCACUUUACAAUAAGAAGAGGUUUUCUCGGAGAAAGAAAUUCUUCAUUUGUGCAUAGGCAUUUGGUAUGACACUUUGAGAACGGUAUUAAGGACCAAAGUGCUUCACCUUACGAUAAGAGAAGAUUGAAAGGCCAGAUUAUUUUUCUACCCUUGGGUUAUAGCGGGAGAAAGAUGGUACCAAUGUUGCAUCUCAGUAGAUUGAACUUUGAAAUUCACAGUGGGGGGCAAUUUGAUUGAGUGUUUUUUUUGAAGAUGCUAGCCGAGCAAGAGGACGUAGUGCGUCAGUGAUACGACUUUAAUGAACUUUGAGUAAUGACUACCUAAGCGAGAUCAUUCUCGGAAAAAAUGACAUUCUGCAUUCAUUCAAACGUCAUUCAUACAUGUCUAGUUAGGAGCAUUUGAUUCAUUCUGAUCAUGAUAUCCUAAUCACUAGGCAUAAUUAGGUUCAUAACUUGAAUUAUACAGGUCAUGUUCCCUAGAGAACAAACCGGUGAAACUUCAGCCUUGUCUCCCUGGGCAGUAGUGGAGUAGGUUGAAAAUGGCAAAUCUUGCCUUCCUGUACUGACAGCGAAGCAGAUCAAAGAUACUAGCCUUGUCUCCCUAGGCAGUAGUGGAGUAGGUUAAAAAUGGCAGAUCUUGCCUUUCUGUACUGACAGAGAAGCAGAUCAAAGAUACCAGCCUUGUCUCCCUGGGCAGUAGUGGAGUAGGUUGAAAAUGGCAGAUCUUGCCUUCCUGUACUGACAGAGAAGCAGAUCGAAGAUACCAGCCUUGUCUCCCUGGGCAGUAAAGGAGUAGGUUGAAAAUAGCAGAUAUUGCCUUCCUGUACUGACAGAGAAGCAGAUCGAAGAUACCAGCCUUGUCUCCCUCGGCAGCAAUGGAGUAGGUUGAAAAUGGCAGAUAUUGCCUUCCUGUACUGACAGAGAAGCAGAUCGAAGAUACCAGCCUUGUCUCCUUGGGCAGUAGAGGAGUAGGUUGAAAAUAGCAGAUCUUGCCUUCCUGUACUUACAGAGAAGCAGAUCGAAGAUACCAGCCUUGUCUCCCUGGGAAGUAGUGGAGUAGGUUGAAAAUAGUAGAUCUUGCCUUCCUGUACUGACAGAGAAGCAGAUCGAAGAUACCAGCCUUGUCUUCUUGGGAAGUAGUGGAGUAGGUUGAAAAUAGCAUAUCUUGCCUUUCUGUACUGAUGGAGAAGCAGAUCGAAGAUACCAGUCUUGUCUCCCUCGGCAGCAGUUGAGUAGGUCGAAAAUGGCAGAUCUUGCCUUUCUGUACUGGCAACGAAGCAGAUCAAAGACAUCAAUCUUAUCGCCAUGACGUUGCAAUUAAAAAGAUUGAAGCCAGGAUGGCGGAUCUUAUUUUCCUGGCGUCGCAGCGCAGCAGAUUGAAGCCACGACAGCGGAUCUUAUCUCUCUGGUGUUAAGGUUUGGAUUAGUUGAAGUAGAGUGGAUUGAAGCUGUGGGCAGCGGAUCCUAUCUCUUUAGCAUUACAGUGGAAAAGAUUGAAGCCACAACGGCGGAUCUUACUUCCCUGGCGGUGCAGUGGAGCAGAUUGAAGUCACAACGUCAGAUCUGGUUUCUCCGACAGUGCAAUUAAAAAGAUUGAAGCCACAAUGGCGGAUCUUACCUCCUUAAAAGUUGAAUAGAUUGAAGCUACGACGGCGGAUCUUGUUUCCUCGACAUUGUAAUUGGAUAAAUUGAAGAAGAUAAUCCUAUCUCCCUGAGGUUACAGUGGAGCGGAUUAACAUCACGGAUCUUAUCUCUCUGAAAUUGCAGUAGAGCAGAUCGUAUCAAACUCAUCUUUGAGGUUUCAGCAGAAUAAGUUGAAGCUACGAGUCUUAUCUCCCUGAAGUUACGGUGGAGCAGACUGGAGAUUGCAAGUUUUGUGCUUUUGAGAAGUUACAAGAUUAAGUCCUAUCUCCCUGACGUUGCAGUGGGGUGGAUUGAAGCAUUAGUUUCUAUACCUCUGAAGAUGCAGUAGGAGGGAAUGAGGCUAUUUAAAGAAGAAGAAGAGCAUCAAGGUCCAGCAUGACCGGGCAAAAUUGGGCUUUUUAGUCUUUGCUCCGUUCUCAUUACAUGAAAAUGAGCAAAGAGGGGCAGCUGUAAUACCCAAUUAUUGCCCGGCGCCCAAAACUGUUUACAGCCCACAUUUGGCCAAAUACAAACCAAAUACAUGAGGCCCAAUAAAGCCCAAACCAAUAACCCUAUACAGCCCAAAUUUUUCAAAGUCACAGAAAUCCUAGGAGGCUAAUGGUCUCGGCGCCGCAACCACCCACGUUUAGCAACUGUUCAUCAUCCCAUGACAUUGCUCGCACGUCUUCC